AGUUAUUAUUGCCUCCUUUUGGGGCUUAAUAUACUCCGAUGCGUGCAUAGAAUGGUAGAGUCUAAUGGAUAUAUGUGCAUAUGUAUGCUCAUCGAUCGAUCCCGGUGAAUCUAUGUAAUAGAGAUUUGGAAUCAAUCAAAACAGAACAGGGGAGAUUGAAUAGCAGCAAAACACAACACUACGUCUCCUGUGAACAUGUGUAUCCCGCACGGACACACAAACUGGAGUAUCUUGCCUCAUGAUUACCUGCAUCCGUCAUUGAUGCAAUCCAUGUAAACUACAUACAGAUAUAGUGACAAUUGAGCGGUUUCAUCAAUGGGUCUCUCUAUGUCACAUCUAGAUGUGAGAUAUUAUCUCACAUCUAAGGUGACAUCAUCAUGUAAUAUGUCCCCACUUGUUGACAAACAACCAGCAUGGUUGCUUCCGAUCACCCCGCACAAUUGGCGCUUGUUUGUUUGUGGCGGCCUGUUUGUUUGUAUGUGGGCCGCCCACCUCUUCCAGUACAACUACCCCCACACCCUGGGCCUUUUUGUGUUGGGCUUGUUUGUUCGUUUGUCUGACAUGAGAGAAACUGUCCUUGUAGAUCCUUUGUAGAUCCCUUUUUGAUUGUAAAACCUUGGGAAAUUGGUUUGGUUACCAAGAUCAUGUGCGCCUGUAAUAUCCUUCUCUUUUUCUAUGAAACAUAUGCUAGUCCUCAUCUGUGGGAAAAACACACACCAGACUAUCAGAGGUCAACUAACGCAUGCUGAAGUUCAGAAAAAAUCAGAUCAAGUAACUUGCGAAGCAGACCAUAGGUACAAAGAACACACAGACAUCAUUAUGUUUGACCCAAGCACACUAUGAUUUAGUUUCAGAAAACACAUAGUUAGCACAAGUGUUAUUUAGUUUCAGAAAAAUAAUUGUUCUGGCCCUAAGAAACUGAACAUAGAAAAACUGCAUUUUACUGUCUUUUGCAUGGUCAGAUAGGUUGUUUGUUUUUGAUAUGUUCAGCUUAAUACGUGUGUUGACUGAAUAAUGGUAAUAAUCAAACAACUCCUUGUUCCAGUUUAUUCAGAGUGCGUUUGUUUCCAUUUAUCUAGAGAGAAACUACUUUGAAAAAGAAAAACAAGUCCUAGUACUAAAGUAGAAUAAUCCAUGAGAAACAGAACAGUGUAGGACAAAAAAUGCUAGCCUGAUACCCCUAAGGAAAAUAACUUAUGGAUGUGCUCCUCCAUUUUCAUACAAACUUUGGUGCGAAUAGAGUAUAAUAUUAAAAUGUUGUACAAAGAAUGCAUUCAUACAGGAGACUACAUUGGAACUGAGGUAUGAUUCUCUUAUUCACAAAGAACGCAUGGGACCAUUACAAAAAAUUGACAGCAAAAAAAAUAUAGUUGAAACUUACUGAUGAAUUUUGAUUGCAUCCUGUGCAAUCCCAGUACCCAGCGGUGAUGUUUGAACCAAGGCUUUUUCAAUGGAAGACAGUGGACAGCAAUACCUGCAAAUGACUCCACCUUACUCGUUCACCACUCCAGUUUAUGAGUUGGCAACACCAUCGAAUGCUGCUCUGAAUCUUGUGAGUAAUAGAUCAAACCCACUUGCUGGUCAACAUGUUGGCCGUUUUGUGCAGCAGAAAGAAGAUGUAAGUUGGUUUAUUGUUUUGGAUCAAAUAAAAAUAGUAAAGGUGCUUUUGAAGAAAAAAUCAUGAAAUUUAUGUUCUCUGUCUAGUUGGUAUGAACCGUAUCUAUUUCAAAAUUUUAACCCCCAUGAACUAAUAAAAAAUUGCAGGUAUUGGCGUUGAAUGAAGGCUUCGGCAGGAACAUGUCAUACACAGAAAUGCUACUAGCUGCUGACUCUAAGGUUUGAACAAAUACACAUCUAGGGUGUAGCACUUCAAAAAUUCUAUCCUACUUAUGUGGUUCAUAUAACAAAAGCAGAUGAUUGAAAAAUAAAAAGAGUGGGCUUAACUUUGUUUUGUGUUGUGCAGGCUGCAUUUUUUGGUUGAGCACACACAGAUCAUUAUCCUGUUGGUGCUGAGGUAUUAUCAGGAAACUGGAAACUUCUGUAAACAUUAGGACAAAAAAAGUGUUAAAAAAAUACAACACUUAACUAAAAAAACUUAUGUUGGAAGACCAAUAAUAGUAGCAAAAAACAUCUAUGUCGAAUAGGAAAAUUCGUAUUGUUGUUUUUGUCCAACAAAAUUGCAGAAUGAAACAUUCAUGUUGACUGGACCGAGUACAAGGCUAAGUGAGCAAAAUAUGAAACAAAAACUACGGGACCACAAUUGCGAGUCGAUGGUGGACUUGCAACAGGGGCUAUUACAACUAGACAAACACCAUAGUUGCGAGUCGAGGGUCGGCUUGCAGGUAGCAUCAAACAAAGAACCCGUUUGCAAAGUCGAGGGUCAACUUGUAAGUGGUAUCAAACAAAAAGACCCAAUUGCAAGUCGAGGGUCGACUUGCAAGUGGCAUCAAACAAAAAAACCUAGUUGCAAGUCGAGGGUCGACUUGCAAGUGGCAUCAAACAAAAAAACCUAGUUGCAAAUCGACUUGCAAAGUGGAAAUGAAACAAAAACUAUGGACCCACAAUUGUGAGUCGAUGAUGGACUUGCAACCGGGGCUAUUACAACUACACAAACACCACAGUUGCGAGUCGAGAGUUGACUUGCAAGUGGAAUGAACUAAAGAACCCGGUUGCAAAGUCGAGGGUUUACUUGCAAGUGGCAUCAAAACAAAAAACCUAGUUGCAAGUCAAGGGUCGACUUGCAAGUGGCACCAAAGAAAAACCCUAGUUGCAAGUUGAGGCUUCACUUGCAAGUGGAAAUGAAAACAAAAACUACAGGCCCACAAUUGUGAGUCGAUGGUGGACUUGCAACUGCGGCAAUUACAACUAGAGAAACACCACAGUUGCGAGUCGAUUGUCGGCUUGCAAGUGGCAUCAAACAAAGGAACCCAGUUGUGAGUCGAGGGUCGAAUUGCAAAUGACAUAAAAUAGAAGACCCAGUUGCAAGUCGAGGGUCGACUUGCAAGUGGCAUCAAAACAAAAAACCUAAUUGCAAGUCGAGGGUCGACUUGCAAGUGGCGUAAAAAAUAGAAGACCCAGUUGCAAGUCGAGGGUCGACUUGCAAGUGGCGUAAAAAAUAGAAGACCCAGUUGCAAGUCGAGGGUCGACUUGCAAGUGGAAUAAAACUAAAGACCCAAUUCCCAGUCAAGGGUCGACUUGCAAGUGGCAUCAAACAAAAAAAACUAGUUGCAAGUCAAGGCUUCACUUGCAAGUUGGAAAAUGAAAAAAAAGUGCGGGUCCACAAUUGCGAGUCGAUGUUGGACUUGCAACUAGGCUAUUACAACUAGACAAAUACCAUAGUUGCAAGUCGAUGGGCGGCUUGCAACUGGGGCUAUUACAACUAGACAAGCACCACAGUUGCGAGUCGAGGAUCGACAUGCAAGAGGCUUCAAACAAAGAACCCGGUUGCAAGUCGAGGGUCGACUUGCAAGUGGCAUCAAACAAAAAGACCCAGUUGCAAGUCAAGGGUCGACUUGCAAGUGGCAUCAAACAAAAAACCUAGUUGCAAGUCGAGGCUUCACUUGCAAAGUGGAAAUGAAAACAAAAACUGCCGGCCCACAAUUGCGAGUCGAUUGUGGACUUGCAACUAGGGCUAUUACAACUAGAGAAACACCAUAGUUGCGAGUCGAUUGUCGGCUUGCAAGUGGCAUCAAACAACAAAAACCAUUUGCGGGUCGAGGGUUGACUUGCAAGUGGCAUUAAACAAAACACCCAGUUGCAAGUCGACGGUCGACUUGCAGGUGGCAUCAAAACAAAAGACCCAGUUGCAAGUCAAGGGUCGACUUGCAAACGGCAUCAAAACAAAAAAGUCAAGGGUCGGCUUGCAAGUGGCAUCAAACAAAAAACCAAGUUGCAAGUCGAGACUUUACUUGCAAGUUGGAAAAUGAAAAAAACUAGGGGCCGACAAUUGUGAGUCAAUAUGGUGGAGUUGCAAAUGAGGCUAUUGCAACUAGACAAACACCACAGUUGCGAGUCGAGGGUCGACUUGCAACUGGGGCUAUUACAACUAGACAAACACCACAGUUGUGAGUCGGGUGUCGACUUGCAAGUGGCAUCGAACAAAAAACCCGGUUGCAAGUCGAGGGUCAACUUGCAAGUGGAAUUAAAAAAAACCCAGUUGCAAGUCAAAGGUCAACUUGCAAGUGGCAUCAAACAAAAACCCUAGUUGCAAGUUGAGGCUUCACUUUGCAAGUGGAAGUGAAACAAAAACUAUGGGGCCACAAUUGUGGGUCGAUGGUGAACUUCGAAGUCAGGAUAUAAAAACUAGAGAAAUACCACAGUUACGAGUCGAUUAUCGGCUUGGAAGUGGCAUCAACCAAAGAACCCAGUUGCGAGUCGACGGUCGACUUGCAAGUGGCAUAAAACGAAAGGCCCAGUUGCAAGUCAAGGGUCAACUUGCAAGUGGCAUUAAACUUGCAAGUGGCCCAGUUUCCAGUUACGGGUGGAGGGUUGACUUGCAAGUGGCAUUAAACAAAACACCCAGAUGCAAGUCGAAGGUCGACUUGCAAGUGGCAUCAAAAUGAAAGACCCAGUUGCAGGUCGAGGGUCGACUUGCAAACGACAUCAAAACAAAAAACCUAGUUGCAAGUUGAGGGUCGACUUGCAAGUGGCAUACAAAUAGAAGAACCAGUUGCGAGUCGAGGGUCGACUUGCAAGUGGCAUAAAACCAAAGACCUAAUUGAAAGUCAAGGGUCGGCUUGCAAGUGGCAUCAAACAAAAAACCAAGUUGCAAGUCAAGACUUUACUUGCAAGUUGGAAAAUGAAAAAAAACUAGGGGCCGGCAAUUGGCAGUCGAUGGUGGAGUUGCAAAUGGGGCUUUUACAACUAGACAAACACCACAACUGCGAGUCGAGGGUCGGCUUGCAACUGGGGCUAUUACAACUAGACAAACACUACAGUUGUGAGUCGAGUGUCGACUUGCAAGUGGCAUCGAACAAAAAACUCGGCUACAAUUCGAGGGUCAACUUGCAAGUGGAAUUAAACAAAAAGACCCAGUUGCAAGUCAAGGGUCGACUUGCAAGUGGCAUUAAACAAAAACCCUAGUUGCAAGUCGAGGCUUCACUUGCAAGUGGAAAUGAAACAAAAACUAUGGGACCACAAUUGCGGGUCGAUGGUGGACUUCGAACUAGGGAUAUUAAAAAGACCACAGUUGCGAGUCGAUUAUCGGCUUGGAAGUGGCAUCAAACAAAGAACCCAGUUGUGAGUCGAGGGUCGACUUGCAAGUGGCAUAAAACAAAAGGCCCAGUUGCAAGUCAAGGGUCAACUUGCAAGUGGCAUGAAACGAAAAACCUAGUUGCAAGUCGAGGGUCAAUUUGCAAGUGGUAUCAAACAAAAAACCUAGUUGCAAGUCAAGGGGCGGCUUGCAACUGGGGCUAUUACAACUAGACAAGCACCACAGUUGCGAGUCGAGGGUCGACCUGCAAGAGGCAUCAAACAAAGAACCCGGUUGCAAGUCAAGGGUCAACUUGCCAGUGGCACCAAACAAAAAGACCCAGUUGCAAGUCAAGGGUCGACUUGUAAGUGGCAUCAAACAAAAAACCUAGUUGCAAGUCGAGGCUUCACUUGCAAGUGGAAAUGAAACAAAAACUAUGGUCCCACAAUUACGUGUCGAUGGUGGGCUUGCAACUGGGGCUAUUACAACUAGAGAAAGACCACAGUUGUGAGUUGAUGGUUGGCCUGCAACUGGCAUCAAACAAAAGAACUCGGUUGCAGGUUGAGGGUUUACUUGCAAGUGGCAUAAAAAUAGAAGACCCAGUUGCUAGUCGAGGGUCGACUUGCAAGUGGCAUAAAAUAAAAGAUCCAGUUGCAGGUCGAGGGUCGACUUACAAGUGGCAUCAAACAAAAACCUAGUUUGAAGGUCGAGGCUGAAACUCUCGCUGUUGCCCACAUCGCAAUGAGCAAAAGCAAAACUGGGCACACCAUCCUGGUUCAUAGCAAAAAGAAACAAAAAAAUAUUAGAUGGGACCUUCAAAAAAUAUUUUUCAAACUAAAAAACAAAUAUAUAGAUAAAAAGAUGCCGUACUGGUGUUUCAGGAUGCUAAAAAAACAACCUGAUAAUAACCUAUAUAAAAACUGCAUCAGCCUAGUAACUGAGGGGUGCUUCAUACUAAUGCUUACGCUGACAGAAAAAUGCUGUUAAACCACUAGUAAAUAGAACUCUUGUAAUGUUUUUAGUUUAUGUGAUUAUCAUUUCCCACACAUUAUUAUUCAUCUAUAGUUACCCAACAGCAAAAAUCCAAAAAAGAAAACACAGGCAAAAAAACCACUGCUCUUCUCCGUUUUGUGCUCGCAACUCGACAACAAAUACAGACUUGCAAAAUUCACUGCAUCAUCCUACUACUAGUAUGGGCAGAAGCAACAGACAAUGGCUACAUGUAAAGCACAAGAUAGUAUUUUGUAUAUACAACGUCUGCCUAGUUAAAAAGUUGUUUACCAGAAUCCCGCAGAUAAUGUCGCCACUUGUGGCAGAGAAACAUAUAUAUGAUUUCCAGAAUUAUGCAUAUAACUGAACCUAUUAGACUAAAUAGAUCAUCUUGAGUGUUUUCCUACAUACAUACAUACAUACAUACAUACAUAUGGUCCCUCCCUUUAAAAUCUCAUCUGCUGCCUACUGAGAAUAUUAGUGUGUAGGGAUGACUCUGGACAAAAGUUUAGGUACUUUUAAGUGGUAAAAAAGUAAGAAGUUGUAGUUCCCUGCCAUGUAGUAGUGUGUAUGUAAAUGGAACAAGACAUGGAGAGAUGGGUAGGUGUUGAUCAAAAUAUUCAGACUAGCAAAACAUGUGGUUUACGUUAGUAGUCGUUAUGUAACACACAUGACUUGAAUACGUGAAGAAAAAAAAUUAAGCACAGUUGACUUGACAAAUCCUCUCAUGGUCAUGGAUGAGAGGAGCAAAAAAAAAACAGAUUCGGUUCCGUUAGACAUUGCUUUCUCUAGUCUAGGUCUCAAGGCAAGAGCACGAGUAUUGACUAAAGAAAGCAGAUACUAAUCGUGUGACCGACAUGACCGAUUACAAUACUAGGACUAUCUAUUACUACCAUGAUUAUAUCAAGUCAUGAAAAUUUCUCACAGAUUACACACAUGCCCAUACUUCAAAAAAAUAAAUCAUAUACUACCACAAAGAGGCCAUCUAUCUAUCCUGCCUCUUUGAGUUAGGGGUUUUGAACCAACUAGCAAUCAAUCAAAAGAGGCCAAACUGUCAACGUGCACAGUCAUCUUGGGUUCUUGCUAGAGAAAAUGAUGCAUCAUCUUCCUGUUUCAUCUCACCAGCACACAAAGCUUAAAACCACUGCUACACACUACUUUAACCUAUGCACCUUUCAAAAAAACUGAACCAAAACCGGCUUAAUCUAAAAAAGCUAAAUCAAAAAAGAAAAAAAAUAAUUACCUACCCUAAUCCUCUACACACACAAAAAAUACCCCCACAGCUGUCAACUUAAUCUUAACUACAACAAAACCCAACCUCCUCCCACAUUUAGGUACACUGGACAAACGAAAAAAAAAAGACUAACUAAUGAAAAAGAACACUAACAAGAAAACAGAGCACAUUUACUACAUCUGAUGGGGACAAAUAAGAACCACAAAAAUCCUAUAAAAAAAGGCCACGUACUUGACUGCCGCUAUCCUCCCCUUCCCUUCUCACUCCCAACAAUCACCACCACCUGACAUGGAAAAGAAUGUCACAAAACACAUAAAUAUAGAGUUAAGAAAGAAAAAGGAAAACCCUGUUUGAUACAAAUUGAAAACUAGGUCUGACAAAAAAAUUGCUUAACAAAUUUAAACCCUAAAUCUAGAAAAAGCAUAAACAAUGUACAAUCCGCCGUUGAAUCUAGCAAAGACAUUAAUCCAGAAAAUCAACUCCUUCAUUCCACUGACUCUCUCUAUACACAAAAACUACACCCUCUAGGCACUGAAAAAAAACUUCACUACCUGAAAAACCCCACCCGCUCCCACAAUUGCGUGAACUGAUGACAAAGAAAAAAUCCUGUGUAUAUUAAGAUACGCAAAAACUAAAAAGACGGAUGGUCUACCUUGAUUCAUUUGUGAGUUGCUCCUCUGUUUAUAUUCAGUUCUGUUUCCAAAGUUGCUUAAACAAGACUGUUAGAACAGUUGAUUUCAGCCUGCCAUAAGUAGUCCACAAGCUCACUAAAGACAUACAAAAAAAAUAAUGUAUAAUUCAACAUACAAAAAACAUACAGACCCUUAACAUGGAAAAAUCUGCCUAGUUGAUUGAUGCAACAACAUCAAUCUAGCAGGGGAUAUGAAGUCUGCCCCAUAGAUCAUACCCCUGACACUAAAAAAUCACCCCGCCUCUGAAAAAGGGCAAAAUCCCCACCUCCCUAACUCUAUAUACUAACCAGUGACACACUGGACCAAUCUUUACCUACUUCGAAAUCCCCACCUCCCCACAUAGAGGAACAAACACCCUCACCCCUCCCCUAGAAAAGAUGAACAGAAACACAAACAAAAGGGGUACGCUGCUAAAAAUAACUGUGAGCAACCCUACUAACAAUCAGAUAGAUUGAACGGGACAAAAAAACCUAAAAAUUGAUGGACACACAAACAAAAAGAAAAGAAGCAUGUGUCCUAAAUCUGUGAGGAACCCUGCACACAACAGGACACAUUGAUGCACAAACCCUAGAAUGAUGAACAGACAAAUCUCCAGAUCUAUGAGCAAAACCGCAUACAUACAAAAGAAGAGAGGGGGAGGAAAGACAAAGGCAACUCACUCAGAUGCGUCUGCCUCUCCUUCUCGCUCUCCAGUAGUCGCCGCUGCCUCGAGAAGCAACUGUCGAAGGGGACAAAAAUGGGGAACAGGCUGACUGCUUCGAGGAAAGAGGAGGUAAAGGGGAAGGGAAAAACUGAAUCGCCGCCCUCUAUCGGCUCUUCAAAACCAGCGGCGCGGCCCGCUAUGCAA
rnacentral:lncRNA from 1 species